rnacentral:lncRNA from 10 species
UUUUUGCAUCACAUCUUUAGCACUAUUGGACAUCCUAGAAACCUCAUUCACAAGAUUUCAAGUUUGAAGUGAUAGUGUUUGCUACCAGAGCCCCUUUUCUGUCAAAGAAAUUAGAAGCAGGAAGGUUGAUGCAUUCCCCCACAGAGCCACUUCCACUUGCUCCAGGCCACAGAGUUCUCUCUCCCGUGACAGUUUCCUUCCUGUGCAAUAGUAUCGCCUCUGGAACUUCCUCACCUGCCACCUGGUGCUGCUACAUGUCCACGUAUUUGGGCUCACAUAUUUUCCCACCGAUAGACAAGAGAUUACCAGAAAAGGGGUGAGGAAUCCAGAGAGAAUGUCUGCAUAAGAAGGAGGGUGGAGAUUUCUUACUGAACUAAAGGCUUCAAGAAUUGGCAAAUACCUGCUCAACUUUUGUAUUUCUGAUGACUGGAUGACUCCACCUGGACCCGAGACUCAUGACUCACCCAGUCCUGUGGCCCCACCCAGAAGUGGACUCAGAGCAAGAGGACCAUUUUCCACACCCCAAUGAGUGCAUCCCCAACCAAUCAGCAGCACCUGUUCCCUAGCCCCCUGACCACCAAACUCUCCUUGAGAAACCGUAGCCUCCAAAUUUUCUGGGAGGCUGAUUUGAGUAAUAAUAAAACUUUGGUCUCCUAUGUAGCUGGCUCUAUGUGUAUUAAACUCUUCCUCUAUUGCAAUUCCCCUGCCUUGGUAAGUCGG